AGAGUUUGAUCCUGGCUCAGAGCGAACGCUGGCGGCAGGCCUAAUACAUGCAAGUCGAGCGGGUGUAGCAAUACACCAGCGGCAGACGGGAGAGUAACACGUGGGAACGUGCCCUUCAGUUCGGAACAACCCAGGGAAACUUGGGCUAAUACCGGAUACGUCCGUAAGGAGAAAGAUUUAUCGCUGAAGGAUCGGCCCGCGUCUGAUUAGCCUGUUGGUGAGGUAACGGCUCACCAAGGCGACGAUCAGUAGCUGGUCUGAGAGGAUGAUCAGCCUCACUGGGACUGAGACACGGCCCAGACUCCUACGGAAGGCAGCAGUAGGGAAUAUUGGACAAUGGGCGCAAGCCUGAUCCAGCCAUGCCGCGUGGGUGAUGAAGGCCCUAGGGUUGUAAAGCCCUUUCGGCGGGGAAGAUAAUGACGGUACCCGCAGAAGAAGCCCCGGCUAACUUCGUGCCAGCAGCCGCGGUA
rnacentral:rRNA from 1 species